AGGAUGGGGCCUUCUCUAGCCUGGCAACCUGUCUCUUUUGAAGACUCCAUUUCUGCUAUAAACCUGCCACUUGCCACAUCAUAAGCUCAUUAUGUGCAUGGAUACAUCAUGAAACAAAAAAGUACAUGCAGAUCCCAUAUCUAAGGGACUCUACAAUUAUAUAUCCAACUUUUUGCGUCAUUGCUGGUCUAUGACCAUAGGAACACUCUAAACAACCAACCCCAACUAAAAUAUAUCACCAAAAUAAGUGCUUCAGCACAGUGAUGUCAAAGGCUCAUUUAAUGCGCGCUUAAGCCCUGAAGCUCAAAAAAGUUCAAGGAGGGCGCUUCGCGUUAAGCUGCGCUUCAGUGUAGGCAAGUCACUAAAGUGCGUGCCUCAAUGCCCAUGAGUUAGUUCUAUCUUGAACUGAACAACAAAUAUUAUCACCAAAUAAAUGUAUUAGUUGCUAAGGAUAAUAUAAGAGUAAAUUUAUUUCUUUUUUGUUAAACUACAUAAUGUAUUUUGAUUUUUUCUUUUAAUUGCGCCUUUUUUUUUACUAAAGCCGCAUUUUAGUUGCGCUUUGUGCUUAAAGCCCCAAUCAACCUAGAGCGCUUUUUAGAGUUUUUUGCUUUUGACAUCACUGCUUUAGCGUUAAUGCAACAUUAAGAGCCCGUUUGGACCCAAAAAAAAUCCUUUUUUCCAAAAAAAAUUCACUUUUUCCGAAAUCAUAGUUUGUUCAUAAAUUUUCAAAUAUUCACUUGAAGAUGCUUUUGAGAAUUUUCAAAAAUUUGAAAAACUCCAAAAAACUGAUUUUCAAAAUUGUCACUCAAAUCACUCAUAAAACUUCAAAAACAACCCAAACUGAAAUUUAUGUCCAAACACAACUCUAAAUUUCAUAUAUCAUUUUCACUUUAAAAAAAUUUCACCAUUUUUUGGAAUGCUAUAAUUCUUAUGUCCAAACGCCUACUACAUUGCACUCAGACACAAUAACCUAAAGAGUUAAUUACUAGAGGUAAAUUGUGAAAAGAAGCAGCACUGACCCCCGGACUUUAGAAGUUGUCAAAGAAGAAGACGCAACAGUUAGGAGGAAACCACUUUAUAUAUUUCGACCUCAAAACAAAACUAGAUAAAAAAGAAAAACACAAGUCAAUUACAAGACAACUUGAUGCUACACCUAAAAAUAUGCUUGAAAGGUGCUAGGUCAACUCACUGUUAAGAUGUGCUAGCCUAGACUCUCUAAAAAGUCCACCUUGCUUAGAUCAUUACCUGUUUCAUCUGAUAGAGAGACAAGCCCAAUAUUUAGCAAAUAGAUUUACAGAAAAGACAGUUGAGUUGUUGUCAACUAUAGCCAUAGUAGAUUAUCAUAGACUCCUAUAUCCCAUACUGUUUGUCAUUUUCACUUUUGCCCCAAAUUAAGAAAUGCUAAAGGUCCUUAAUAUGAUUACCAAUACUUCUCAACAUACCAAAGUAUGAGAAGGGUGACAGAGUUUUGGGACAUCCAACAAAGGCAAGGGUGACAAAUGAAAAGGGAAAAUGAGAGAUAUUCAAAACUGAUUUGCUUGAAGAGUUUUUUUCUUACCAAUUAUAACUUCUGUCUAGAAGAUGCAUAUCUUUCUCAAAUAGAGAUUGACGGAGUUCAACAUCGAGCAUUCAAGAGAAUACAUCAUAUCAAUAAUACCAUCAACUCAAUCUUAUAGUUUCUUUUCUAUGAUACCCGUUUAACUGACAGUCAAUAAAACAAUUUCAAGGGGGUCGUAAAACAUCAAGCACAAGAGAUGGUGAUGAGCUAGUAGCCUUUCAGAUUCAUUUUUUCUCUAUCAAUUAUUUCAAGUAAAUGAUACUUCUUUAGUAUCGAAUAUCAUUAGUUAGUCCACACAGGAUAAGGGUGUUUCUACUGACAGAAAUGUAACUGGUAAAAGAUCCAGGAGUUUUAGCUUCAUACACAACUUAAUUUUUCGAUAAAUAUUAUAGUACUAUCUUACCGCCUUAAACCAUAGAAUGUAUUUAGAGACUGGUUCAUUGCAAGCAAAGAACACACAUAUAACCUAGAUAUUCCAGUAUAUUAAAUGACCAUCCUUUACAGGUCAACUUUGUCAUAGUGGUCAAGGAUGUUUUCUUCACGCCAUUAGGUCAAGAGUUUAAGGCUGGUAAGUUGGAAACAAAAAAAAUGACCAUCCAAGACCAGGCCACAACUUUAUGUCGAUAAACUGCUUAAUACUUCUCAAUCAGACCAACUAUUAAUUUAGAUCAGGUGCUUACAUGGGAAGCAUAAUGAAACCCAAACGAAAACUCUAACCAAAUGCACUUAAGUUCAACUAUUUCUCCACCUAGAUUACACCACAAGCUCUCAAAAUUAAGCAACAAUGAUACAUAGACUUUCUUACAAAAUCUAAAGCAAAACAAAAGAAGCCAAAUGCUCAUGGCGCUAUUUCAAUAUGCAACAAAGAUACAGAGACUUUCUUACAAAAGCUAAAGCAAAACAAAAAAAGCUAAAUGCUCAUGGCGCUAUCUCAAUAAAUUUUUGAAAACCAAAAUAUAUAUAAGCAGCGGCACUAUCUCAAUAAUUAACAAAGGGAAAUUAUAAAAGGGAAAAAAAUACAUAAACUGACAUCCAAUGCCACAGUUCAGCAAAAGGCUGGACCAUAUAAAGACUACAAGUAUUUUAGAUGAUUCAGAUCCACACUUAUCAAUUUUAGCAAAUUUAUCACAAUUACCCCUAAAAACAAUGAAAUUUAGCCAUAUGUCACUUGAGUCUGCAUAUUGAUAGGCAAAAAAGAUAGAAACUUUAAAACAAUUUAGUCCUUCAGUUCAUUAUUACAAAAAAAUUAAAGAAAAAAAAUCUUUACCUAAAAACGUCACAGAAUAGCACGAAAACAAAAUAUAAAAAAAAAAAUUCAAAUCUAACAGGUUAACCUAAAGAUCACCUUUUUAGUAUACAAUACAGCCAAAACACGCUUAAUUUUCUACGAGGAUCAAACAUAAAAUCAAUAAAAAAGAUAUACAAGUAUUUUUUUUUUAAAAAAAUCUCACCGGUCAACCGAAUCAAAAGCUUUCCCUGAUAUUUCUAAAAAAAUUAAAACACAGAAAAAUAACUUUUCUUCUUCCCCAAACAAACACCGAACAAUUUUCCAAAAGAUAAACAAUUAGAUCAGAAAUUACAUAAAUCAUAAUUAGAAGCUCCAACAAAAAGGAAAAAAAAUCAGAAAUGGCUAAUAAUAAAAUACCUUAAACCACAAGAGAUAAUCGGAGAAAUCGAGAGGGGAAUAAAUUGAGAGGAUUAUUAGAAAUAGAGAGAUUGGGGCCGAAAGGGGAAAAAAGGCAAGAGAGAACGAUUGAAUUGUUGAAUUAUUUUUUUUUAUUUUUCUUCUUUAAGGCUAUUAUUAUGGGUCAUAUACGGAGUAUUUAGAACUUAGCUUACUUUUUU
rnacentral:lncRNA from 1 species